rnacentral:rRNA from 1 species
AUGACAAUUAACAAGGCGCAGGGUCAGACUAUCCCAAACAUCGGUAUUUACCUUCCCGAGCCAGUAUUCUCACAUGGUCAGCUAUAUGUUGCAUUGUCAAGGGGAGUGUCCAGAGAGACGACGCGGAUUUUGGCCAAGCCAAACAACGAGGUUGAUAUUUCUGGGAAAAGCACCAAGAACAUUGUCUACAGAGAUGUUUUGGGGAGAUGA